rnacentral:rRNA from 1 species
AUUGAACGCUGGCGGCAGGCCUAACACAUGCAAGUCGAACGAGCGGCGGACGGGUGAGUAAUGUCUGGGAAACUGCCUGAUGGAGGGGGAUAACUACUGGAAACGGUAGCUAAUACCGCAUACCAUCAGAUGUGCCCAGAUGGGAUUAGCUAGUAGGUGGGGUAAUGGCUCACCUAGGCGACGAUCCCUAGCUGGUCUGAGAGGAUGACCAGCCAAACUGGAACGGGGACACGGGCCAGCCCCCUACGGGAGGCGGCAGUGGGGAAUAUUGCACAAUGGGGGCAAGCCGGAGGCAGCCAUGCCGCGGGUGUGAAGAGGGCCUUCGGGUUGUAAAGAACUUUCAGCGAGGAGGCGUUACUCGAAGAAGAAGCACCGGCUAACUCCGUGCCAGCAGCCGGGGUAAUC